CUAGCAAUCCUUGAUUUGGCCAGGAAAGACUGCACUGCUUUGGCCCAGGAAGCGAAGGGAAUGAGCUCGGCUGCUUCUCCUCCACACUGAUUUUUCUCCGUGCCCGUUCCGCAUGCGCUUCGCGCGCCAUUGGCGCUUUGCUCUCCUCUUAUUCUUCACCGUCCCCUAAAACUAACGCCUUACUCUCUUCUCCCGACUUUCCAUUGCCACAACCGCUGCAAAAGCACAAGGCACACAUGACUCACAAAUUGGG
rnacentral:lncRNA from 1 species